rnacentral:rRNA from 1 species
CUUUACUGUAGCCUGGUAUUGGGUUCGGGCUUUGACUGCGCAGGAUAGGUGGGAGACUAUGAAGCUGCCCUUGUGGGGGCAGUGGAGUCAUCAGUGAGAUACCACUCUGUCAAGGCUAGAAUUCCAACCGUCUGCCGUUAUCCGGCGACGGAACAGUAUCAGGUGGGCAGUUUGACUGGGGCGGUCGCCUCCUAAAUGGUAACGGAGGCGCGCAAAGGUUCCCUCAGGCUGGUUGGAAAUCAGCCGAAGAGCGUAAAGGCAGAAGGGAGCUUGACUGCAAGAGCAACAACUCAAGCAGGGACGAAAGUCGGCCUUAGUGAUCCGACGGCGCUGAGUGGAAGGGCCGUCGCUCAACGGAUAAAAGUUA